rnacentral:rRNA from 1 species
GAUGAACGCUGGCGGCGUGCUUAACACAUUCAAGUCGAACGGAAAGGCCCAAGCUUGCUUGGGUACUCGAGUGGCGAACGGGUGAGUAACACGUGGGUGAUCUGCCCUGCACUUCGGGAUAAGCCUGGGAAACUGGGUCUAAUACCGGAUAGGACGAUGGUUUGGACGCCAUUGUGGAAAGUUUUUUCGGUGUGGGAUGAGCUCGCGGCCUAUCAGCUUGUUGGUGGGGUAAUGGCCUACCAAGGCGUCGACGGGUAGCCGGCCUGAGAGGGUGUACGGCCACAUUGGGACUGAGAUACGGCCCAGACUCCUACGGGAGGCAGCAGUGGGGAAUAUUGCACAAUGGGCGCAAGCCUGAUGCAGCGACGCCGCGUGGGGGAUGACGGCCUUCGGGUUGUAAACUCCUUUCGCUAGGGACGAAGCGUUUUUGUGACGGUACCUGGAGAAGAAGCACCGGCUAACUACGUG